AGGAAGGUAGUGUAGUUAACACCUGCACUAUUUGACGUUACCUACAGAAGAAGCACCGGCUAACUCCGUGCCAGCAGCCGCGGUAAUACGGAGGGGUGCGAGCGUUAAUCGGAAUUACUGGGCGUAAAGCGCAUGCAGGCGGCCUGUUAAGUCAGAUGUGAAAGACCCGGGGCGUUAACCUCGGAAUUGCAUUUGUAAACUAGGCAGGCUAGAGUCUUGUAGAGGGGGGUAGGAAUUUCAGGUGUAGCGGUGAAAUGCGUAGAGAUCUGAAGGAAUACCAGUGGCGAAGGCGGCCCCCUGGACAAAGACUGACGCUCAGAUGCGAAAGCGUGGGGAGCAAACAGGAUUAGAUACCCUGGUAG
rnacentral:rRNA from 1 species